rnacentral:rRNA from 1 species
UACGAAGGGGGCUAGCGUUGCUCGGAAUCACUGGGCGUAAAGCGCACGUAGGCGGCUUUUUAAGUCAGGGGUGAAAUCCUGGAGCUCAACUCCAGAACUGCCUUUGAUACUGAGAAGCUUGAGUUCGGGAGAGGGAUGCGGAAUUCCAGGUGUAGCGGUGAAAUGCGUAGAUAUCUACUGGAAUGCCGAUGGUGAAGACGCGCGGCUGGGCCUUUCCUGACGCUGAGGCACGAAAGCGUGGGGAGCAAACAGG